rnacentral:ncRNA from 1 species
GCAGAGUAGGGGCCCGCGCGUACAGUGCCUGACCAACGGGGAGUUGUGGCAGGACGAAGUGGCCGGCCUGGCCGGCCCGCGGUGCGUGCCCCGCAUCCCACUGC